AGUGUAGAAUUUUGACUAUUCCCUUUUAAGCUUAGAGUAUGUAAAUCUUAAGUUUAGGGGAGUUUUAGGAUGUAUAUGCCUUUCUAGAAAAAUGAAAAAAAGAAAAAUAUUAAUAAUAUUGCAAAUAAAGUAUCGAGUACUCCUUUGAGAUUAAUGGGUGGUAAAUUUUGAAAAGGACGAUCCACGUACUUGUGCUGGUAUUAAGCGCAAUUGUACUAGAAAUAAAUUUUCUUGGUGACUUUUCACAACCCUUGGUUACUGGAGAAUUAC
rnacentral:lncRNA from 1 species